CUCCGAUCCCCCCCGCGCGCCCCCGUGCACGGCUCCCAGGCCUGUCGAGCGCGGGCGAAGUCACCUGAGUCGCAGCGGGCAGAGCUGGGGCCCGGAGGAAGGACUCGCGAGCCCAGCGCGGGUCGGAGGCCGUGGGGGGUUCCUCAUGCCUCUUUCUCCCUGCUCCACCCCAAUCCAUUCCAAUACCCCAACACUAGGUUGGAGAGAAAGGCAGGGUAUGCGCAGUGCUUCUCUGAAGACAAAAUAAAGGCAGGUUCGGUUACAGGUAAAUCAGAAACAUCUGUGUAAGAGAGCCUACUCAAGAUUUAAGCAUUGCCAGAGACACAGCGGAGAGAGAGGUGGAGCCUUGCUGCCCAUGCAGAAGACCUAUAAUGACAAAACAACACAACAGCCAUGACUGAGGCCCAUGCGGUGGGAAGAGGCCAGGUGCUGUUUCUGUUACACGGUACGCAGAGACUGGCCUGCAUGUGGUGGCACCCAGACAUGCGCACAGAGAAGCUGAGGGUGUGUACAUGUUCCUUCUGAUGCGAUAACCCAGCAGACCCAGAAUUCGUGGGUUCACCACAAGGAUUUGUCCUUAUUGUUGGAAGGAAGAACGAUGAAAUCAGAACUGCAGAAACACAGCUGGCAGAAUGGCUCAGCAAGUAAAGCUGCCUGGGCACCUGUGCCUGGUCCCAGGAACCACAGGGUGGAGGGAAACUGACCUCCACCUGAGGUCUGGUGAAGACUUGGCAAGGGACUGGAUGUGGUUUACACGGUGAAGCUUACACGGUGAAGUGGAAGUGAGCUUUGGGGCUCAGGGGCACAAUGGAACACCUUGGGUCCUGUAUGCCUUCUGCAGCUGUGAUAAACAGCAAGGGCCCAAGCUGCUCCCCUUGCGGGGACUGAGAGCAAAGACAGAGAACAAGAGAGAGAUGUGCCCCAAGGACCCUGUUCAAGGCUUACUCUGCAACAAACUCCAUUCUGCUAGUGCCACAGACCAGAGGCCUCGCCUGCCACACAUGCCUUUGGAAUUGUUUUAGCUGACGCUUCCACAUUGCUGUUCAUCACAGAAGGAAGUCAGGACAGGAGCUCCAGCAGGGUGAAAGCCUGGAGGCAGAAGCUGAGACAAAGACUACGGAGGGGUGCUGCUCACUGGCUUGCUCUCCAUGGCUUGCUCAGCCUGCUUUCUUACACAGUCAGGACCACCAGCCCAGGGGUGGCUCCACCCACAAUGGGCGGGGCUCUCCUCCAUCAAUAACCAUCUAGGAAAAUGCCCUACAGGCUUUCUCACACCCUGAUCUUAAGGAGGCAUUUUCUCAGUUGAGAUUCCCUCCUCUCAGACGACUCCAGUUUGUGUCAAGUUGACAUGAAACUGUCCAGCACAGCACAGCACAGCAUGUCUUUUAAAAAUAGAAACACUGGUUACUGUCUGCCCACCUCUGAGACCAGCCCUUGGGUAGACAGAAAUUUUGUGCAUUUUGUUCACCAUCACAGCCCUGGGAGCUUGGAAUAGUGCUGUUGUGUCUUCCUUCACUGAAAUAUUUGCUGAAGUGAUGAAGGGGGUAACCAAAUAAAAAAGCACUGGCCUUGA